rnacentral:rRNA from 1 species
UACGUAGGGCGCGAGCGUUGUCCGGAAUUAUUGGGCGUAAAGGGCUCGUAGGCGGUUUGUCGCGUCGGGAGUGAAAUCAUCUGGCUUAACUGGGUGCUUGCUUUCGAUACGGGCAGACUAGAGGUAUGCAGGGGAGAACGGAAUUCCUGGUGUAGCGGUGAAAUGCGCAGAUAUCAGGAGGAACACCGGUGGCGAAGGCGGUUCUCUGGGCAUGAUCUGACGCUGAGGAGCGAAAGUGUGGGGAGCGAACAGG